CGGCGGACGGGUGAGUAACGCGUGGGGAACCGUGCCCUAUACAGGGGGAUAACAGUUAGAAAUAGACUGCUAAUACCGCAUAAGCGCACGGAGCCGCAUGGCGCUGAGUGAAAAACGAUAGUGGUAUAGGAGGGACCCGCGUCUGAUUAGGUAGUUGGUGGGGUAACGGCCCACCAAGCCGACGAUCAGUAGCCGACCUGAGAGGGUGACCGGCCACAUUGGGACUGAGACACGGCCCAAACUCCUACGGAAGGCAGCAG
rnacentral:rRNA from 1 species